CCAGUUCCAGCAUCCCCUGUUUCGCGUUCUUGCGUAUUUUUCACCUAUUAUUUCUGUUUCGAAUUGGCCUUGGGUGUAAACAUGAAAGUUUUAGGUAAUUAUGUUAGCUUUCUAAUGGCUUUGGUUUGACGUUCAAAUGAUUUUUAGAACUUGAGUUAUGAUCAAAUUACUACACAUGGGUCAUGUGGAUUUUUGUGAAAACUUAUCGUAACUUUUUCUUUAAGCCGUGAAACUUUUCCAAACUUGAUAUUGAGUUUAAUGAAGUACUUAGAGUGAAUAAUUGAGUAUGAAUUUAUGUAUUUGGGAAUGUGAAUGUGUUGAUGGUUUAAGAAAAUAUUUUGAGUUGAGUAGAAUCGGUGAAAACGAGUUUUGAGCUAAAUGUCGUUUUGUCUUGGUUUUUCUCAUACGAACUUAAGCUAUCCUUUGAACUAAUUUCUAAUAGUUUUUAAGUGGCUUAAGUCCUUACCUACAUGAUUGAUUAAGAUUGAAUUUUAGGAUUUCAAAUUUGAAUAAGUUGCCUAACUUUGAAAAUUAUCAAUGUUGGCCGUUUGCCACAUGAUUUGGACUUUGUCGGAAAUGUUUCUUUAGCAAAUUGUCUUGUGAGUUAUUGAGAUUAUUCUUGUAUGACUAAGUGAAGUUGUAUGAAUGAAUGAUUGUAUUGAAUAUGAUGUUUAUCAUGAGAUGUAUAUGUUAUCUUACUUGGAAUAUGAGAAUGCUUGAAUUGGUGAACUAUAUGUGACAGUUGAUGUUGAAUAACAUUGUGGAUUAUUGAUGAUCAUGUUGAUGUGAUGAUGGUGAAUACUAUGAUUUAUUUGUGUAUGGGCAUGUUUUCUUGAUAAUGCAAUGAUGUGGAGAUAAUCAAUAUAAUUGGGUGUUGUCCUAUAUAUUGAGGUUGAGAUUGUGAAUUGUUGUCGCAUUAUCGAGUCCUUAUACAUGUCCAUGCAUCAUAGUCGUUGUUGCUGUAAAAGGGAUGACUCUUUUACUUCGAGAUUAUUGUAAGGCAGGUGUGAGCCCUUACAAUCGAUGUGCAAGUGGCAUCAAAAGGUGACGACCUUGUUGAGAUUUGGUACCACAUGCAUUUAUGUGUCAAUAAGUGCAUAUCAUGACAUGAGUCUUAUUUGGAAAUGUGAUUGGAGAUUGUGAAUGAAUAUUUGUGAAUUGAUAAUUGUUCAUGAUGUAUAUGAUCGGUGAUUGUUCAUGAUGUAUAUGAUUGGUGGUUGUGUAUGAAUAACUGUGAAUUGAUAUUUGUUCAUGACACAUGUAAUUGGCGAUCAUUGAUGUGAGAUAUUGGGGUUUGAUGUAAGUAUUGAUAUGAGAAUAUUAUUAUUGAUCAAGUGCAUGAUGUUUAAAUUGAAAUAUUCAUGAUGACUGUUAUUUGGAUUAUGAUAAUGUAAUACUUACCCCCAGUGGAUCUGUUAUGGACCACCUGCCUAUCUGUAUGGAUGGGUAGACGUUGUGCAGGUUUAGUUGCUUGGUGAGUUCUUGUACUUGGUGGAUAUCGGGAGCUUUCUCCGAUAUCGAUGUUUAGAAUUAGUCGGCUCUGAUCUAGGCUUCGUUGUGUCGGUCUAGAUUAGUUUAUUUUGGAUUUUGUUAUGUUUGGAGAUUACCCGUUUGCUGGGAUUUUUGAGAUGCAUCUAUGUUGAUGUAAUUUAUUUAUUCAUAACAUGUAUAUUUGAAUUUACUCUGGUUUAUAUUCCACUGCGACUGUUGAGGUUUAUGUACAUGUCUAUCGGUUUUUGAAUUUUGAAUAUGACGUAAUCUCUAUUUCUUGAAUAAAAGUAUUAUUCGCAUGUUUAAUUGCUUUAAUAGAAAUAGGAGCGUUACACAAGCCAUGAAUCAUCAACAACAAUAUCUCUUAACAACAACAACAUCAAUUAAACAUGAUUCUCAACAUAAUUCAACAACAACAUAACACAAUUCAAUAAUUUGAGCACAAUUCACAAUAUAACAUUUUCACAUACUAUGAACAUGCAAUUUCACCAACAACAAUUCAAUUAUCACCAAUUUCAUGCAUUCAAACAUAUCAUCAUAAUUAAAGCACGAAUUUCAACAACCAUGAACAAAUUAUCAAUUAUUCAAUUAAGCACUUAAUGAAAAAAUUACAACUAAUUGAUUAUGGUUGAAAUCUAACCCCCUUACCUCAAUUAGCACAAAUCCUAGCCUAAGCUUCAAUUUAGCUCCUAGGAUCACCACCACCUCUAGGUCUUCUCUUCUAACCCUUUUCCUCUUCUCUUCCACUUUCCCUCUCUACCUCUUUCUAAAAAUCUUGUGAAAUGAAAAAUGAAUGCUAUUUUCUCUUAAGACGAGGUUUAUAUAGGCUAUCUUCAAAUGGGCUCAACCCUAAUUCCUUAGUGGGCUUAACCCACCCAAUCACAAUUCUAAAAUGUUUCUACACACUUAACGAUAAAAUACUAACAACGGUCACUUACCGGUUCACAACUAUUUACCACACUAGUAACUUAGUAAAAUAAUGUUUCUCACUAAAACACUAAAAAUAAUUCUCACCAAAAAUUAUUAAAUUACCCUCCCGACACAAAAAUCCAUGAAAAUGCACCAAAUGAUAAUUAAUUACAAACAAGCACAUAAAACACAUAUUAAAACCAUUAAAAAUAAAUCUAACGAAAAUUGGGCUGUUACAUGGGGGGUAUAGACCAAAUUACUGCUGGAAUCAUUGGGGCAGGUAGAAGGUGGUAGUGGGAAGACCUUAAAGAAGCUGGCAGCAAAGAGAGUUUUUGAAACGCAAAAGAAGUCUGGUGUGUCUUUUCCGCCAAAUGAGUGUGGAAUCAUUAAAAAGUUAGUUCUCAUGGAAGAGGUAGCUGUGAAACGCAAGGCCGAUGGGGAGGAUUUAAGGUUACGUCAAUGAUAGUCCGGAAUGAUAAGAUAUUUAAUGGGGUGCAUUAUGAUGUUGAUGAUAUUGUUGAAGAGAUUAAAGUCUUAUCUUGGAGGUGGCUUUUAAGUAGGACUAACAAAAAUACUUGCCUUUACUAUGAGUGGUGUUGGGAUCCAAUUUAGCAGCGCUUGCAGUUUGCUUCUGCUGUCCAGCUGAUUUUUUUGUUUUUUGGUCUGGCCUGUUUGCGUGUUUCUUGCUUCUGAGUGAGCUUUGUAGCUGUGGUGAUAAGGUUCUGUUGGUUUCUUGCUGCCUGGGUAGUUUUUGAUGGAGGCUGCUGUUGUUUCGGCUGAUGGGUGUGCAGGGUUUGGUAUUGUUUGGGUGCGCAGAUGGUGUAGGCGUUGGGGUUCUGCCUGUUUUUUCUGUUUGGAUGGGAGCGGCUACUCCCUACUAUUUUUCUGGCCAAAGUGGUGAAUGCUUGUGGUUUGUGUAGCAAGUAUAGCUCCACGUCAUUAUUGGUGUGUUGGUUUUGUUACUUUUUGGGUGGUUUUUAAGGGGUUUUUGUUUGAACCUGUCUUUUGUGGCAACUGAUUUUCCCUUAUAUUUUUUUUCUCCCACCCGAGCUUAUUAGUGCAUCUCGCACGGGCUUGUUGGUUAAUAAUAUUUUGUUGAUUCAAAAAAAAGUAAAGAAAAGUUAACCCAAAAGUCAUAUGAGUUUCAUUUGUAAAACCUUACUUAUUGGAUUAGGUUUGAUUUUUUUUUUGAACAAGAGAUUAGGUUUGAAUUAUAUUAUUGGUGAG
rnacentral:lncRNA from 1 species